ACAGUGAAGAAGCGGCCUCUCUGCGCAGGCGCACUGAGCUUAGCUAACGUUUUCUGGAAGUUUCUUGGGAGAGACGGCGGGAGGAGAAAAGGAAGGAGGAGGACUAGAAGAUGGAGCUGUUUUUGGAGGAGAAACUAAGGAAGCUGAGCUGAGAGGUGAAGAAGAGGAGCUCCAGUCCCAGAUGCCUCCUGAGGAUGCUGUGAGUGUGUCUCAGUGGAUGUGAGUGUUGCUGAGGACAGUGAGGACAGCUCCCCUGUUCUACCAGAAUGAGGGACAUGACUGGACAGCUGUCUGCAUGGAGACAAAGAGGCUGCAGGAAGCAGUGCUGCUGGUUUAACUCUCAGACUGAGUGAUGAAGAUGAGUGAUUUGGAGGAAAAGGACGGAUCAGAGCCUCCAGCAUCUAACCGUCUGUCUAUGAAGAAUGACAAAGAUCCUCCAGACUUCAGGAAAGAACCUGGACUCUCAGACACAAAGGUGAAAAUGUCGACACCUCCAGAAGUCCUACUGGAGACUUUGGAGGAUAUGACAGCAGAGGAGUUCAAAGAAUUCAAGUGGUUCUUGUGGCAGAAGGGGGCGCUAGAAGACUUCCCGGCAAUCCCAAAGUGUGACCUGGAGAAUGCAGACAGGAUGGACACAGUGGAUGAAAUGUUGAAGACCUACUGUGUCAACACCAUGAAAGUCACUGUGAUGGUGUUGAAGAAGAUAUCCAAGAAUGAUCUGGUGCAGAACAUCCCAGAAACCAUGAAAGAACCUGCAGAGAUUCUCAGUGGAUGUCAAGACAAACUCAAGUCUAAGCUGAAGAAGAAGUUCCAGUUUGUGUUUGAGGGCAUCGCUAAAGCAGGAAAGAAAACCCUUCUGAAUGAGAUCUACACAGAGCUGUACGUCACUGAGGGAGUGACUGCAGAGGUCAGUGAUGAACAUAAGGUCAGACAGAUUGAAGCAGCAUCCAGGAAAGCAGACAGAGUAGAAACAAGCAUCAGACCAGAAGACAUCUUUAAAGGCCGAGUAGGAAGUGAUGAAGAAAUCAGAACAGUGAUGACACAGGGAGUGGCUGGCAUCGGGAAAACGGCGUUAACACAGAAGUUGACUCUGGACUGGGCUGAAGACAAAUCCAACCAGGACAUCCACUUCAUGUUUCCAUUCACUUUCAGAGAGCUGAAUUUACUGAAAGAGAAAAAGUUCAGUUGGUGGAACUUGUUCAUCACUUCUUCAGUGAAACCAAAACAGCAGGAAUCUGCAGGUUUGAAGACUUCCAGGUUGUGUUGAUCUUUGACGGUCUGGAUGAGUGUCGCCUUCCUCUGGACUUCAACAACAAUGAGGUCCUGACUGAUGUUACAGAGUCCACCUCAGUGGAUGUGCUGCUGACAAACCUGAUCAGGGGGAAUCUGCUUCCCUCUGCUCGCCUCUGGAUAACCACACGACCUGCAGCAGCCAAUCAGAUCCCUCCUGAAUGUGUGGA